GAUGAACGCUGGCGGCGUGCCUAAUACAUGCAAGUCGAACGAAUCUUCUUCGGAAGAUGAGUGGCGAACGGGUGAGUAAUACAUAGGUAACCUGCCCCUGUGCGGGGGAUAACAGGAGGAAACUCCUGCUAAUACCGCAUAGCCAUGAGCACCGCAUGGAGCUCAUGCCAAAUAUCCUUUCGGGGAUAGCGCAGGGAGGGACCUAUGGCGCAUUAGCUGGUUGGCGGGGCAACGGCCCACCAAGGCAACGAUGCGUAGCCGGCCGGAGAGGGCGGACGGCCACAUUGGGACUGAGACACGGCCCAGACUCCUACGGGAGGCAGCAGUAGGGAAUUUUCGACAAUGGGGGAAACCCUGACCGAGCAACGCCGCGUGAGCGAAGAAGGCCUUCGGGUCGUAAAGCUCUGUUGUAAAGGAAGAACGGCGCAUACAGGAAAUGGUAUGCGAGUGACGGUACUUUACCAGAAAGCCACGGCUAACUACGUGCCAGCAGCCGCCGUAAAAC
rnacentral:rRNA from 1 species